rnacentral:tRNA from 1 species
UAUUAGAUGGCUGAAAGUAAGUAUUGGCCUCUUAAGCCAUAUUAUAGUAAUUAACAUCUACUUCUAAUAA